rnacentral:rRNA from 1 species
CCUACGGGAGGCAGCAGUGGGGAAUAUUGCACAAUGGGGGAAACCCUGAUGCAGCGACGCCGCGUGAGUGAAGAAGUAAUUCGUUAUGUAAAGCUCUAUCAGCAGGGAAAAAAAUGACGGUACCUGCGUAAGAAGCCCCGGCUAACUACGUUCCAGCAGCCGCGGUAAUCCGUAGGGGGCAAGCGUUAUCCGGAUUUACUGGGUGUAAAGGGAGCGUAGACGGCAGUGCAAGUCUGGAGUGAAAGGCGGGGGCUCAACCCCAGGACGGCUCUGGAAACUGUACGGCUGGAGUGCAGGAGAGGUAAGUGGAAUUCCGGGUGUAGCGGGGAAAUGCGUAGAUAUUAGGAGGAACACCAGUGGCGAAGGCGGCGUACUGGACUGUAACUGACGUUGAGGCUCGAAAGCGUGGGGAGCAAACAGGAUUAGAUACCCUAGUAGUC